rnacentral:rRNA from 1 species
GGGAAUUCGAUUAGAGUUUGAUCACUGGCUCAGGACGAACGCUGGCGGCGUGCUUAACACAUGCAAGUCGAGCGGAAAGGCCCUUCGGGGUACUCGAGCGGCGAACGGGUGAGUAACACGUGAGUAACCUGCCCCUGACUCUGGGAUAAGCCCGGGAAACUGGGUCUAAUACCGGAUAUGACACCUCCUCGCAUGGGGUGGGUGUGGAAAGUCUUUUCGGUUGGGGAUGGACUCGCGGCCUAUCAGCUUGUUGGUGGGGUAAUGGCCUACCAAGGCGACGACGGGUAGCCGGCCUGAGAGGGCGACCGGCCACACUGGGACUGAGACACGGCCCAGACUCCUACGGGAGGCAGCAGUGGGGAAUAUUGCGCAAUGGGCGAAAGCCUGACGCAGCGACGCCGCGUGGGGGAUGACGGCCUUCGGGUUGUAAACCUCUUUCAACAGGGACGAAGUUGACGUGUACCUGCAGAAGAAGCGCCGGCUAACUACGUGCCAGCAGCCGCGGUAAUACGUAGGGCGCAAGCGUUGUCCGGAAUUAUUGGGCGUAAAGAGCUCGUAGGUGGCUUGUCACGUCGGGUGUGAAAGCUUGGGGCUUAACUCCAGGUCUGCAUUCGAUACGGGCUGGCUAGAGGUAGGUAGGGGAGAACGGAAUUCCUGGUGUAGCGGUGAAAUGCGCAGAUAUCAGGAGGAACACCGGUGGCGAAGGCGGUUCUCUGGGCCUUACCUGACGCUGAGGAGCGAAAGCGUGGGGAGCGAACAGGAUUAGAUACCCUGGUAGUCCACGCUGUAAACGUUGGGCGCUAGGUGUGGGGACCUUCCACGGUUUCCGCGCCGUAGCUAACGCAUUAAGCGCCCCGCCU